rnacentral:misc_RNA from 1 species
UCACCCUUCAAGCCCUCGGCUUGGUGUUGGACGGUUUGGUUUUGGUGACAAGACCCUUCCUAAAAUCAAUGACGGCGGCCUGUGUGACCCCCGGUACACUGAGCUUCUUAACUGAGCACGUAUCGGAUGAGGGUGCCCGGGACACGGUCCUUCCUCCCUUCAGUGGGAAAGUUUUCUAA